UACAGAGGGGGCAAGCGUUGUUCGGAAUUACUGGGCGUAAAGGGCGCGUAGGUGGCCUUCUAAGUCGAACGUGAAAUCCCUGGGCUCAACCCAGGAACUGCGUCCAAGACUGGGAGGCUUGAAUCCGGGAGAGGGAUGCGGAAUUCCAGGUGUAGCGGUGAAAUGCGUAGAUAUCAGGAGGAACACCGGUGGCGAAGGCGGAUCUCUGGGCCUUACCUGACGCUGAGGCGCGAAAGCUAGGGGAGCGAACAGG
rnacentral:rRNA from 1 species